rnacentral:rRNA from 1 species
CGUGGGGGAUAACGUAGCGAAAGUUACGCUAAUACCGCAUAUGCCCUGAGGGGGAAAGGAGGGGAUCGUAAGACCUUUCGCUUUCGGAGUGGCCGAUAUCAGAUUAGCUAGUUGGUGGGGUAAAGGCCUACCAAGGCGACGAUCUGUAGCGGGUCUGAGAGGAUGAUCCGCCACACUGGGACUGAGACACGGCCCAGACUCCUACGGGAGGCAGCAGUGGGGAAUUUUGGACAAUGGGGGCAACCCUGAUCCAGCCAUGCCGCGUGAGUGAAGAAGGCCUUCGGGUUGUAAAGCUCUUUCGGACGGAAAGAAAUCCUAUUCGCUAAUACCGGGUGGGGAUGACGGUACCGUAAGAAGAAGCACCGGCUAACUACGUGCCAGCAGCCGCGGUAAUACGUAGGGUGCGAGCGUUAAUCGGAAUUACUGGGCGUAAAGCGUGCGCAGGCGGUUUUGUAAGACAGAUGUGAAAUCCCCGGGCUUAACCUGGGAACUGCAUUUGUGACUGCAAGGCUAGAGUGCGGCAGAGGGGGGUAGAAUUCCA